ACGGGCCUUGACAUGCAGAGAACUUUCCAGAGAUGGAUUGGUGCCUUCGGGAACUCUGACACAGGUGCUGCAUGGCUGUCGUCAGCUCGUGUCGUAAGAUGUUGGGUUAAGUCCCGUAACGAGCGCAACCCUUGUCCUUAGUUACCAGCACGUUAUGGUGGGCACUCUAAGGAGACUGCCGGUGACAAACCGGAGGAAGGUGGGGAUGACGUCAAGUCAUCAUGGCCCUUACGGCCUGGGCUACACACGUGCUACAAUGGUCGGUACAAAGGGUUGCCAAGCCGCGAGGUGGAGCUAAUCCCAUAAAACCGAUCGUAGUCCGGAUCGCAGUCUGCAACUCGACUGCGUGAAGUCGGAAUCGCUAGUAAUCGUGGAUCAGCAUGCCACGGUGAAUACGUUCCCGGGCCUU
rnacentral:rRNA from 1 species